AAGCACACAAAUAUUUCCACAUGCCACUCAAUACCCCAAGAUGUUCAUGCAGUGAACUACGACUGGUCAAAGCUCUCAUGCUCGUGGCAUGAAAAAGUCAAAGGUAUUAAAGCUAAGAUUAUUUACUAAAUCCUAUUUUUAAUACAUUUCAAAUUAAAGAUCAAUUCAACUAAGUAAGGAAUCUCUACCACAAUCAAUCAUGAAUACUUCCAUCAUCAUCCCAAGAUAUUAUUUCCGAAUUAAUAUUUUGGAAAUAUUUUUUCCUCUUUCAUCCUACCGAUGACAUAAUCUUGACCAAUGAGAAGUCGCCGCGUGUAGGGCAAAACCCUACUAUGAGGCCAGCCACCUCCCUGGAUCCGCGCCCCUAGCACGAUUCAACUGAACCACCGGCCGGCCACCGGACCAGAUCCAGUUUUGACCAGAUCACCGAUUCACGGGCGAACCAAGAAUUUUCUGAUAAAGUUCCCAACUGUUUUUCGGUGUUCUGGACCCUUUAUGCAGAUUUUGCUCAAUGAAGCUCAAAUUUCAUGCCCAAUGUCCACUGCACUUCGUGCCAACAAGUAGUGCACUCUUGACGAGGUGUCUCGAAGAUGACGAUAAUCUUUCCAAAUGUGUCCUAAGCAGCCGCUCAACCUGCCAUAAACUAGGCGUUCUGACAACAUGCACUCCCUCGUAAGCCCCGUGGACAUACUUUUUUUUCCCAUACAGAAACAGACUCCACGUGUUAUGAUGCAUGUUGGCUAGCUUUUCAUCAAAGAAAUUUAUAAGGUAUCCAAAUGUGCAUGUUGGCUAUAUUUCCCCUUCAUUUUGUCUUCUCUUCAGAACCAUUCUUUCAAUACGUGCAACUUUAGGUUUUAAUUAAAAACAUAAACAACACGUUUUAAGCAAACUCAUCUGUUUUAUCAAUAUAUGAAUAUUUAAUAUGAACUAAUUAAAGUUUCAUCUAUAUCAGUGGCGGAGUUUAGGAAAUUUUCCUCAAAGAUUAAUAGGCUGUCAAACAUUGAUUUUGAAGACGAAAGUUUUAAAAACCAAUCAUCUUUCACUUUUGUUUCAAAAAAGGGCCACAGGCAAAGGUGAUAGGAGAGGUGAUAGUAGAUAUCAUGGGGUUGACAUCUUGAGAAAGACAAACAAUUACAGAUGAAAAAUAGGACUAAAGUAAUAAUGAAAACGUUUUCAUUCAUAUGAAAACUAUUCUAUGCGUGAUGUAUGUGAUGCACUGAAUAAAUGAAGGUGGAGAAAGACACAAUUACAGAUGAAAAAUAGGACCAAAGUAAAGUAAUGAUGAAACGCUUACAUUCAUGAAAAAUCUUCUAUACUUUGGGGGUCGAAGGAUAGAAUAAUACUUGGUUAUUCAAAAAAUAAGUAGGAGCUCGCUCUUACUCAAACCUUUUGGUUUUUGGUUCAUAGAAUUUCGUGUUUAUGAUCAGAACCGUUCAUAUUAUGAAUAUUUAUAAAAUCAUAUAUGCAGAAAAUCAAUUGAUUAACUAAACAACCUUAGUAUUAAUUUAUUUUUUGCAUAGAUGAUCUUUAUAUAGUGACUUAUAAUAAUGGUUCCAAUUAUAAACACGAAGUUUUGUGAUCGGACACAAAUAAUUUUGAGGAGUACCUUCUGAUCAUCCUUAAGUAGCUAAAGCAUUGUUCCAAGGGAUAUUCCAAUCCUCCACUAUGAGCCACUGAUUCACUGACAUUGAGGGUCUAUCUGGCUAUGGUUGUUUGAAUGCUAUGUAUGGUAAUAUAUAUCUGUCACGCUCCGGACUUGAGGUCGGCGAAAAAAUAAAUAAAUCCUGCACCCGGUACGUGAGUAAAAGUAAAAAUAAAAGAAAAACGAAACUGCUCUUAUAAAAAUAAAUCUUGAAAAUUCUUACAAUGUGUACAAAAAUAAUAAAAAUCCUAAAAACUUUUAAAUCCCUCUUUUAACACAAUCUCAACGUGUCUAGCACUUGUCUUGCCAAAUAAAUCAUCUGAAAAAUAAUAGCAACUACCACUAUCGCCCAGUGAGUAAAAUAUGUCAUAUGCUAGUUAAACGAUGUUGUUUUACACACUCUAGAAAAUACAAUAAUAGUAUUAAAGUUUUAGCCACGUAAUUCCAUCAUCCCUUCAUACGUUCAUUAUAUCCUUCAUAAAUUGUAACCCAUUACGUAACCCUUAAUGACCUUCCUGCCCUAAUGUUCCCAUGUGCAAUUACAUUUAUUCCUCGGAUUAAUGCAACACUAAAAUUCUUAUGCUCCAUGAACAAUCUCAAGUAAUUCCAUAUAGAUUGGAUAUAUCCCAUUAUAAACAUUUACACAAAAUCAAACAUGCAUAAAUUGAAAUAGAAAGAUAUUUAGAAAUAGCUCAAAACCCAUGAUAACUCAUGAAUUUCACUUAUCGAAAAUAAGAACAUUUUAUAACACAUUACAUAAACCACUCACCUCGAAUCUUGGCAAGAUAACUCACUAACAAUCUGCCCGCAGCAAACCCUAACUCCCUCUCUCUCUACGUGGAACAUGCAUGCUCUGCAUGCUGCCUUCUUUUUAUGUUCCAAAAACAAUGGAGCAAAGCUCCUAUUUAUAGGGCAAAAGCCGGGUCCAACUUCCUUCUAAUUGGUGGUCUGGCGGCCAGACAAUGGUGGCAUGCAAGGUGUCAACCAAAUAAGGACACAAUGAUACGGGGCAGCCACCUAAGGCUAAUUGAAGCCACGUCCAAGUUAUAGCUUCCAUUAGUCAACAAAUAGAGUGCUCAUUAGGCACUUCUAGCACAAUCUAAUGAAAGAUAGGAAAAAGGUUGGAAAGAAAACCAUACGUUUAAAAUGUAUAGGUUAAUAUAUAUGUAUAUAUACACACAUAUAUUUAAAUUAUAUAGUAUAUAUUAAGUUGAAACAAAAUAUAUAAUUGAAAAUCAAAACUAAUUUUGUAAAUAAUAUUUGUUGUAAAAUAUAUUUUCAAAAUGCGGGUUCUCACAAUAUCAUUUAUGGUAAGUUGAGCUAGGGCUAGUUUCGCUUUGGUUACAGAAUCGAAAAGUGAUUACCGAAAAUCGAACUAAAAAUAUCGAAAUAAGAGAAACAAAACCCGAUCUUGAAUUGAAAAAUUUUAGUUUACCGAAAAAUCAGUAAUCUCAAAUUUCUUUCGAAUUUUUUAGGUUUGGGAAACCGAAAUCCCUUAGGCUAAAUUCGAAACUGAUUCCCCAAUUCUGAAAUUCAUCCCUCAAUUCGAAAAUAAAUAACCCCAAAAAUUCCCCCCAAUUUGAAAAUAAAAAACCCUAAAUCUUGAGAGAGAGAGAGAGUGAGUUGCAGAAAGAUAUAGGGGGGAGAGAGAGAGAGACGGACAAUGAUGAUUGAAUCGAGAAAAUUGAUUGAGAAUGGAAGGAGCUCUACGUCGACGGCUGAAAGGAAAGAGGGUUUCGUCGAGCUGUGGGCGGGCGAAGAGAGGGAAGUGGUCGACGACUAUCUGAUAGAGGAAUGGAUAGUGGAGGGUCGAGAGGGAGAGAGAGCCCGUGCAAGCCGAAGGUAAAAAUGAAUUUGGUGGAAUUUGACGGUGCGAUGUCGCCGUAGAAGAUGAAUUUGGAGGUGUCGUGUGGUCUCUAGUGUGGCGAGAAGUCGGCGGAGACGAAACAGAGAGAGAGGGUCGGAGUCAUCAAAGAGAGGGCUUUGGUUGUCUGGGAAGGUU
rnacentral:lncRNA from 1 species